rnacentral:rRNA from 1 species
UACGUAGGGUGCAAGCGUUGUCCGGAAUUAUUGGGCGUAAAGAGCUCGUAGGCGGUCUGUCGCGUCUGCUGUGAAAACUCAGGGCUUAACCCUGAGCUUGCAGUGGGUACGGGCAGACUAGAGUGCGGUAGGGGAGACUGGAAUUCCUGGUGUAGCGGUGAAAUGCGCAGAUAUCAGGAGGAACACCGGUGGCGAAGGCGGCUCUCUGGGACGGUACUGACGCUGAGACGCGAAAGCGUGGGGAGCAAACAGG